rnacentral:rRNA from 1 species
AGUCUGGGGUCUGUCGGUAAGGACGUGAAACACGAAAUAACAAGGGAGAGGCUCAGAACUUGUUUGUCCUAACCAAAAAGGGUAAAUUGAAUAGUUAAUUGAAACAUCUUACUAAACUAUGGGGAAUACAUCAACUGAGAUUCCGUACGUAGCGGCGAGCGAUAGCGGAGGAAUUGUCUCAAACAGAUAAUUAAGGUGAUUGGACAUCUAGACUAAACCCCGAUAGACACCUAUAGAGAAAGUACCGUGAGGGAAAGACUUAGAAUUGGUUCUAAAGGUUACCUUUUGCAUAAUGGGCCUGCAAGAUAAGAUUUGGCAAGCUUAAGUAGUGAAUGAAGGCGUAGUGAAAGCAAGGGAAAAACUCGUCAGUCAGAUCUCCCGAAACCAAGUGAUCUAACCAUGGCCAGGUAGCUAGCUAUGCUGCUGACCGAACCAGUGAUUGUGGCAAAAAUCUUGGAUGAGCUGUGGUUAGCGGUGAAAUACUAGUCGAACUUGGAUAUAGCUGGUUCUCUACGAAACCUAUCUUAGUAAGGCACUCCAAGUUGAUUCGCCCCCAAACCAGGGGGCUUGAAUCACUGGGGUAGGCAGACUAUGGCGAUAAGGCCCCUAGUCAGGAGGGGUAAGCCCUAACCAGAAAUUAAAGUCACUAAUACAGAUUAAGUGUAUAAAGAGGGUCCAACUUAGACAAACAGGAAGUAGGCUUGGAAACAGCCAUCUGCACAGGAAAACGUAAAAGUUCACUGAAUAAGCUAGGAAACUCUAAAAAUUAAGGCGGCUAAAUCUGUAACUGAAACUCUGGAAGCCAUACGGCAACCGCAAAAGGCGUCAACUGGCUUGGUAGUAGAGCGUUCUGUAUGUACACACCUCGUGAGAUAAACAGAAGUGAUAAUGCAGGCAUGAGUAGUACAGGAUUUACUCCCAAAUAAAAUAUUUAUACAACUUCUAAGGGCAUUACGCCCGAUGAAUUAUAAUUCCUGUACCUGUUCGGGAAAACUUUUAUAGUGCAUAGCACCUUUUAUUGUUACUUAUGGGAUUUAUAUCUGGGCAUAAUUUCUCUUAGGGAACUCGGCAAAGAAGAUCUCGACUGUUUACCAAAAACAUAGCUCUCUGCUAAAGGCUUACUGAAGUAUAGAGGGUGAAUUCUGCCCAAUGGUUGUAUAGUGAAACUGAGGACUAACGUCUAAAGCGAAACCCAGCUGAAUGGCCGCGGUAACUCUGACCGUGAUAAUGUAGCACAAUAAAUAGCCAAUUAAUUGUUGGCGGGUAUGAAUGGAACCACGAGGGUCUUACUGUCCCAAGAGAAAAGCCGAUGAAAUUAUAAUUGUAGUGAAGAUACUACAUAAACAUUGUAAGACGAAAAGACCCUGUCGAGCUUUACUGGAUACCAAUAGCGUUAAUUUAGAAUGAUCGGUACUAAGUAUUCUAAUUUUAAGUUAAUAAUUUUUGUUGGCAGGACAGUUUAGUUGGGGCGACUACCUCUGAAUAAGAAACGGAGGCGAGCUUAUGGUAUUAUUAAAAUCUCAUUAGCCUGACAGUGAGGGGGACACCCCUAGCUGGCACAAGGACUUACCCAUUACAACGUAAUGGGUUCCUAUGUGGGCGAUAAUGACCCGAUAUAAUUAUCCUAAAUAAAUAUCGAAAGCGGAUAAAAGCUACCGCAGGGAUAACAGCGUAAUAUUGUCGGAGAGUUCUUAUCGAGGACAGUGUUUGCGACCUCGAUGUUGAAUUGCGGUGCCCUGGUGCUGUAGAAGGUACCUUAGGUUGGUCUGUUCGACCAUGAAAACCGUACAUGAUUUGAGUUCAGAGCGUGGUGACACAGCUCGGUUUCUAUCUACAAUGUUCAAUCCCAACUUUUCUGAGUUUUAGUACGCAAGGAAUGGUCUCAGCGAUGCUCGACUAUAUUGGCCCCAUCGACGUAAUCAACUUCUGGCUGCUGCAAAGAAGGAGAACAAAAGGUUUGGGAUUAAUAGGGUGCCACAAAAGUGGCGCACCUUUAGGUGCCAUGUGGGCGCAUAGCCCCUGGCACCCUAUGGAAUUAACACUAGGGCUUAUUAUACUAAUAGUGUUAACGUAUGGAUUAAAGGGCCCGACUCUAAGAUUAGCAAUAUUCUGUUUGGGAGUGACACUACUUAUGGGUGCUGCUGGGUUAUUAGCUGAGCCCCAUCUGCUAUGUUGGACACCGGCUAUUAAGAUGUUGGUGAUGCUAAGUGGGUUAGCCAUACUAUGUAUGCUGGACCAUCGAACAUCGC